AUGUUCACUUAUACGACAUGAACGUCGGCGGCCUACCGGCCGGUCUCAUACGAAUGUGGGCGGCCUACCGGCCGCAUACGGAUGUGGGCCUGACGUGAACUCAGCAACUACAUUGCUGUGACAACUAGAAAUCGAGCAACAUGAAACACCAUAUGCAGCUUACCUAAUGCUGUUGACUAGAUUUUUACGGAAGGAGGAACAAUAAGUCGGAUUACAAUCAGCUGAUUGCUGUCGUCUGCAUAUGAAAACAAACGCAGGCGCCGUAGCAACCAUACGCAUGGAAUCGAACGAACGAACGGAUUUAUUUUACGAAUAUCUGUAAUCUAAAUUUAGCGCGAGAAAAUAAACAAACCACCGAGAAAUGGUUCAGGAAAUCUCAGAAAGACUUAUCCUUCAUUGGAACUAUCGUGGGUUUUCCUCAUUUCCAGACGAAUUGUGCGUCUGUGGUAGUCAUGUGUGUGAGCUGUAUCUGAAAUACAACAACAUUACACGCCUGCCAGAUUGGAUUGAUACCAUGACAAAUUUGACAAACAUCUACCUUCAAGCCAAUUACCUGACGGAGUUGCCUGAAGCGAUUCAGUUUCUAACCAGUUUGAAGACGCUGGAUGUCAGCCAGAAUCAUCUGUCCCAAAUUCCAGCAUCGAUAGGGAAACUUGUGGAACUGAGGAGUAUCAUACUGACUCAAAACAAACUAAGUUAUCUGCCCAACUCGCUGGGAAAUCUUCCACACCUCACAACACUACUUUUGAGUAGCAACAGAUUAGCUCAGCUGCAAGAUUCGUUGCACCAGUGCCUCCAUUUGGAGACCCUCCAGCUUGACUUCAACAACUUUACUAGUUUACCAAGUUUCCUGACACGCCUCCCACGGCUCCAGCGAUUAUCAGUCUGCUCUAAUCAGCUUACACAACUGCCUCACCUACCCUUCGCCAGCUUGGAGCGUUUCCUCUGCGAUAACAAUCCCAACCUAACUUACCUACCUUACCCGCUGGCUUGCCAGAUGAAUCGACCGCCAGCCCUGCCGCUGGCCACCCGUAACGUUCUGCACAUUUCUUGCCAUGGAUGUUUCAAGCCAUCCGGAAAGCGAAGAGACCAAGUGCUGGCGCCCAAUGUUCUCGUCAAAGAUUCACCAGAAGGAAUAGCUCUCCAUUUCCUGCCGGAUAUUAUCGACAUUCCUGGCUCCAAUGCGCCGCCCAGUUUGCUUGAGCUCACUUUGCGGUCCAUUUGUUUGCGAAUCUUUAACGAACCGCUCGACACAAGUUUCGACCGGAAGAACCAGCUCCACCACUUCCAGUCCAACUAUCACCUCGCCUACGACCGGCGGAUCGGCGAAUUUUGUCUACCGUCGACUCUAAUUCAACUUUUGCGGGACGGCCCAGCCGCCAUCUGCUUGGCAUGUGGGGCGUUCAUCUUCCGCGGGCCGGCACAUCCGGUCUUUCUGUCCAAAUUCAUCGUUGAAAACGAACGUGCCGUCCAGGACCUCCAGUCGGUGGUCUGCUCUUUACUAUUCUGCUCGGCUUCCUGUUUCCGGACGGCCGCCACAACUGCUGGCGCCGUGGCAGCUGCCGGACUUGAAGACCGACUCGAUUGGGAAUGCAUCACACAUCUCACGACAAGUACCAAUUAGUUGGUGGGACAGAUUCAACCGUUACAUUUCUUUUUCUACGACGACAGCAUUGGAAAAAUUAUUCAUUUUACAGCGAACAGCUGAUUGCAGGGCGUUUUGAUUAUCAAUACGACGCAGUGCUGCCACGGCACUGUUCAGGCCAUUUACGAAACUGGGGCAGCGCUGUUGGAAGCUGGAGUCAUCCCCGGUGCCGAUAUGACUCCUGAGGCCGCCCUCACGAAAUUGUCGUACGUUUUUUCGAAAGACGAGUGGGAUCUCGACACAAAGAGGCAAAUGAUGAUGACGAAUUUGAGGGGAGAAUUGACGCUUCCGCAUACGACGCUGGUCAAAGAAAUGGAACUGAUUGAAGCUUUGGCGCGAUCCUUGCACUUGUCUUCCAGUGAAGAAAUGGACCAACUCAAAGAUGUUCUCUUUCCUUCACUCAUUUGUUCCGCUGUCAAGACGGAAGAUUUAUCGAAACUGGAAACGUUGGAGAAAUAGG
rnacentral:misc_RNA from 1 species